rnacentral:rRNA from 1 species
UGACGGAGGGUGCGAGCGUUAAUCGGAAUGACUGGGCGUAAAGGGCAUGUAGGCGGAUGCUUAAGUUAGGUGUGAAAGCCCUGGGCUCAACCUAGGAAUUGCACUUAAAACUGGUUAUCUGGAGUAUUGUAGAGGAAGGUAGAAUUCCACGUGUAGCGGUGAAAUGCGUAGAGAUGUGGAGGAAUACCGGUGGCGAAGGCGGCCUUCUGGACAGAUACUGACGCUGAGAUGCGAAAGCGUGGGGAGCGAACAGG